rnacentral:rRNA from 1 species
UACGUAGGCAGCAAGCGUUGUUCGGAAUUACUGGGCGUAAAGAGUGUGUAGGCGGUGCUCCAAGUCUGGUGUGAAAUCUCCCGGCUUAACUGGGAGGGUGCAUUAGAAACUGGAAUGCUAGAGGAUGGGAGAGGUAAGCGGAAUUCCUGGUGUAGCGGUGAAAUGCGUAGAUAUCUGGAGGAACACCGGUGGCGAAGGCGGCAUCCUGGACCGGUAUUGACGCUGAGGCGCGAAAGCCAGGGGAGCAAACGGGG